ensembl:lncRNA
UUAUUAAAAUCAUAUCAUUUUAAUAUUCUUUUAUUAUGGCCUAUCAUUGGAUACUGAAUAUAAUUCCCUGUGCUAUACAGUGGGACCUUGUUGUUUAUCCAUUCUGUUAACCCAACCUCCCACUCCAUCCCUCCUCCAACCCCCUCCCCCUUGGCAACCUCAAGUUUGCUCUUUAUGUCCCUGAGUCUGUUUCCAUUUCAUUUGUGUCAUAUUUUAGGUUUCACGUAUACAUGAUAUCACGAGGUAUUUGUCUUUCUCACUUACUUCACUUAGCAUGAUAAUAUCUAGUUGCAUUUACUGCUGCAAAUGGUAUUAUUUCAUUCUUUUUAUAAUGGUUGGGCAGUAUUCUGUUGUGUAUUUAUAUAUAUGCUGCAUCUUCUUUGUCCAUUCAUCUGUGCUUCCAUUCUCAGCCAUUUUUCCUGACCAGUGCUGGUUCCAGCUCCUGCAAUAAGAAUAUAAAAGGACAUAAAAGUGGGAUGGUUUGAGAUGGAUGAAAGAUCGGAUAAAUCAGUUGAGAGUAUUGUUUUUCCUUUCUAGACACUUCGCUGGCUCUUAGUAGCUCAGCCAUCUCUGGGGAGGGAUAAAGUGUAAUUAAUUUAUUUUUAAUGUUUGGUUUGAUUGAACUCUUCUGCUAGGGAGAUAAGAUAAGGAGUUUUGUCAUGACAAGUGCAAGGAUGGAUUGCUUUUUGUCAUUCGCAGGAGUGGGUACCACUUGGAGCCUAUAAGUAGAUGGUCGCAUGAGAUGAGAAACUUUGCAAGAGACGUGAAAGAAAACUAGAGGAGAUGAGGCAGGAAUGGCUAGAUCUUUGCCACUCCAAGAACCAGGGAGGGACAGUGAGCUUCCGGAGAAUAUGGGCCUUGUCUUGAAUGAUGAGAUGUGCUUGGGAGAUUGGUUCACUUCUUACUGACUUGGGUCGGGAACUGAGCGUCUUUGUGCAGAGUUCAGAGUGUCUGCAGUAUCUCACAGCGUAUGUAGCUCCUCCUGUAGGUCUGCAGUAAGCCAAGAACCAGCGCAGAUGUGGUGCCCUGGCUGUCAGGAGCAGUCUCCAUGGUCUUGUCAUGGCAGAGAUCAACUGGUAUUGAAAUUCUUGACCAGAUACUCUAAGGCAGAUCUGAUGGCUUACAGGGUUCCUCAGGAAGGAAGGAAGAUAGAAGAAAGCAAAAGCCUUCCUAGAAUUAAAAAAAAAACAAACCAAAAAACCAGUUCUUGCCACCUGUCAUAGCGAUCUAUGCAUCAUAAAAUCCAUUUUUUUAAAUGAUAAGGUUCAUAUCUUCUGUUUUCUUUUUUUAAUUUUUCAAUUUCCUUGUCGAUUACUUCCUAACUUUGAUACUUAAUGUGUUAC